AAAUUGAAGAGUUUGAUCAUGGCUCAGAUUGAACGCUGGCGGCAGGCCUAACACAUGCAAGUCGAACGGUAACAGGAAACAGCUUGCUGUUUCGCUGACGAGUGGCGGACGGGUGAGUAAUGUCUGGGAAACUGCCUGAUGGAGGGGGAUAACUACUGGAAACGGUAGCUAAUACCGCAUAACGUCGCAAGACCAAAGAGGGGGACCUUCGGGCCUCUUGCCAUCGGAUGUGCCCAGAUGGGAUUAGCUAGUAGGUGGGGUAAAGGCUCACCUAGGCGACGAUCCCUAGCUGGUCUGAGAGGAUGACCAGCCACACUGGAACUGAGACACGGUCCAGACUCCUACGGGAGGCAGCAGUGGGGAAUAUUGCACAAUGGGCGCAAGCCUGAUGCAGCCAUGCCGCGUGUAUGAAGAAGGCCUUCGGGUUGUAAAGUACUUUCAGCGGGGAGGAAGGGAGUAAAGUUAAUACCUUUGCUCAUUGACGUUACCCGCAGAAGAAGCACCGGCUAACUCCGUGCCAGCAGCCGCGGUAAUACGGAGGGUGCAAGCGUUAAUCGGAAUUACUGGGCGUAAAGCGCACGCAGGCGGUUUGUUAAGUCAGAUGUGAAAUCCCCGGGCUCAACCUGGGAACUGCAUCUGAUACUGGCAAGCUUGAGUCUCGUAGAGGGGGGUAGAAUUCCAGGUGUAGCGGUGAAAUGCGUAGAGAUCUGGAGGAAUACCGGUGGCGAAGGCGGCCCCCUGGACGAAGACUGACGCUCAGGUGCGAAAGCGUGGGGAGCAAACAGGAUUAGAUACCCUGGUAGUCCACGCCGUAAACGAUGUCGACUUGGAGGUUGUGCCCUUGAGGCGUGGCUUCCGGAGCUAACGCGUUAAGUCGACCGCCUGGGGAGUACGGCCGCAAGGUUAAAACUCAAAUGAAUUGACGGGGGCCCGCACAAGCGGUGGAGCAUGUGGUUUAAUUCGAUGCAACGCGAAGAACCUUACCUGGUCUUGACAUCCACGGAAGUUUUCAGAGAUGAGAAUGUGCCUUCGGGAACCGUGAGACAGGUGCUGCAUGGCUGUCGUCAGCUCGUGUUGUGAAAUGUUGGGUUAAGUCCCGCAACGAGCGCAACCCUUAUCCUUUGUUGCCAGCGGUCCGGCCGGGAACUCAAAGGAGACUGCCAGUGAUAAACUGGAGGAAGGUGGGGAUGACGUCAAGUCAUCAUGGCCCUUACGACCAGGGCUACACACGUGCUACAAUGGCGCAUACAAAGAGAAGCGAUCUCGCGAGAGCAAGCGGACCUCAUAAAGUGCGUCGUAGUCCGGAUUGGAGUCUGCAACUCGACUCCAUGAAGUCGGAAUCGCUAGUAAUCGUGGAUCAGAAUGCCACGGUGAAUACGUUCCCGGGCCUUGUACACACCGCCCGUCACACCAUGGGAGUGGGUUGCAAAAGAAGUAGGUAGCUUAACCUUCGGGAGGGCGCUUACCACUUUGUGAUUCAUGACUGGGGUGAAGUCGUAACAAGGUAACCGUAGGGGAACCUGCGGUUGGAUCACCUCCUUACCUUAAAGAAGC
rnacentral:rRNA from 1 species